AAUGCAGUGCCCGAACAGGGCGUUGUAAUUGGAAUGAGAACAAUUUAAAUCCCUUAUCGAUUAACAAUUAGAGGGCAAGUCUGGUGCCAGCAGCCGCGGUAAUUCCAGCUCUAAUAGCGUAUAUUAAAGUUGUUGCGGUUAAAAAGCUCGUAGUUGGAUUUCGGCGUGCGCUCAGGCUGGUCGGCCGUCAAGGUCUGUACCGUUUGGGUCACGCCCCACUGUAGGAUACUCACCGCUGUCCUUAACUGGGUGGCGGUCAAAGGGGGUGUGCAUGGGGGCAACUCUGUGCAUAUCUCUGGGGUUCCUACUCUUUUACUUUGAGCAAAUUAGAGUGUUCAAAGCAGGCAAUCUAGCCUUGAAUACUUCAGCAUGGGAUAAUGGAACAGGACUGGGGUCCUGAUUUCGUUGGUUUCUGGGAUCUCAGUAAUGAUUAAUAGGGAUAGUUGGGGGCAUUAGUAUUUAAUUGUCAGAGGUGAAAUUCUUGGAUUUAUGAAAGACUAACUUCUGCGAAAGCAUUUGCCAAGGAUGUUUUCAUUAAUCAAGAACGAAAGUUAGGGGAUCGAAGACGAUCAGAUACCGUCGUAGUCUUAACCAUAAACGAUGCCGACCAGCGAUUGGGAGACGUUACAUGGAUGACCCCCCCAGCAGCUUGCGAGAAAUCACAAGUCUUUGGGUUCCGGGGGGAGUAUGGUCGCAAGGCUGAAACUUAAAGGAAUUGACGGAAGGGCACCACCAGGAGUGGAGCCUGCGGCUUAAUUUGACUCAACACGGGGAAACUUACCAGGUCCAGACAUAGUAAGGAUUGACAGAUUUGAGAGCUCUUUCUUGAUUCUAUGGGUGGUGGUGCAUGGCCGUUCUUAGUUGGUGGAGUGAUUUGUCUGGUUAAUUCCGUUAACGAACGAGACCUUAACCUGCUAAAUAUGUCACUGGUAGACUUCUGCCAAAACAGGUGGGUGUCUAGGGGAAAGUUUCGAUGGACUCCGACGCAUUCAUCUGUGGAUGACUACCAGGAUGUACUUCUUAGAGGGACUAUCUGUAUCAAAGCAGAUGGAAGUUUGAGGCAAUAACAGGUCUGUGGUGCCCUUAGAUGUUCUGGGCCGCACGCGCGCUACACUGACAAGUUCAACGAGUUUAACACCUUGCUCGAUAGGGCUGGGUAAUCUUUGAAAAACUUGUCGUGAUGGGGAUAGAUCAUUGUAAUUAUUGGUCUUCAACGAGGAAUUCCUAGUAAGCGUGAGUCAUCAGCUCGCGUUGAUUACGUCCCUGCCCUUUGUACACACCGCCCGUCGCUCCUACCGAUUGAAUGAUCCGGUGAAAUGUUGGGAGCUGGGGUCUUUUGGCGGCGGGGCAACUCGUCGUCAGGGAUUCUGCAAACUUCAUUAAACCUUGUCAUUUAGA
rnacentral:rRNA from 1 species